GGCCCAUAUGUGGUCGCGCGGCUCCUAAAAGGAGGAUAAAUACGCGUCCGGCCAGGGCAUUGGAGAUCCGGACCUCUGGUCCCCCGAGUUCAACGGCAGUUUCAUCUUUAUAAGCGGAUGUUAAACGAGACGAGCAACGAGUGUGACGGGCCUCGACGAGGACGGCGCGGCGUCUCUGAUCACGACGCGGGAUGAAACCCACGACGCGGCCGAGAACUCCUCGCCUCCUUUUCAGGGAUGCACGGUCGCUGAAGGUCAAGUCCUACUGGCCAAAGGUCAACCUGCUGUCGCUGUGGUAGGGAUGUAUACCGCGGUGCUGAAGGGCGAGCGGCCCGGAACCCGUCGGGUCUCCGAGCCCGGAGGCGCGGUGGCCACCACCGGACCCCUCUGCCUCGCCACAGGGGUCAAAGCAGGAGGGAAGUCUGAAGUUGACCUUCCAGAAACGAGGUCUACCUCCUGAAGAGGCCCCUGGAGGUCGACGAGGGCCCCCAGGCCCGGCAGCAGCACCUUCACGAGCUGCAGAGCGCCUCGGACACGGGCCGGCCGGCAUCACCACGCCUCAGUGCAGCUUCCAGACGGGUGUGUUUAUGUUUUAAAUGCACCAAAUCCCAUAAGACCUGUGAGAUGGUCCUUCCUCUUUCCACCACUAGAUGGCAGCAAAGUGUCGUUUCUUGUGACGUGGAAGACUGCAGACCCAUCUCCUGAAGCCAUGACAUAAACAUUUACAGAUUAGAAACGUAUCAUCUGACCUUUUUAUGAAAUAACUAACUGUGUCAGAUCUUUCAAAAAACUAAUUUCAUGCACAAAGAUCCUAAGAAUGUAAAUAACCUCAUGGAAGGUUUAUUGUUUUGGGUCGAUUGCCUGCUUUGUAUUUGCCUUUAUUGUUUUUGUACGUAUGCCGAGGCGAUAUUGAUGUAUUGUUUGAAAAGACUUCAUGCUACUUUCCCUCUAAUAGAUAAAUCCGACUUUCAUUUUGAAAAGGUAAAAGGAAUCGCAGACAGUACGGCUAUGGAUCAUGUUACAGACGCAAUUAUAUAUAUAUUUAAAGUAUAAAUAAAGCUUUACUGUGGU